rnacentral:misc_RNA from 1 species
CGGCAAUAAUGGUUUCUGGAAUAAGGGGAUAUCAGCUUGCGCCGUUUGUGAUGGCGCUGCCCCGAUAUUCCGUAAUAAACCAUUGGCUGUAAUUGGUGGUGGAGAUUCUGCCAUGGAAGAAGCUAAUUUUUUAACUAAAUAUGGUUCGAAAGUGUAUAUAAUUCAUAGGAGGGAUGAAUUUAGGGCAUCGAAGAUAAUGCAAAAUAGGGCAUUGAGUAACCCUAAAAUAGAGGUGAUUUGGAAUUCUACUGUAGUGGAGGCUUAUGGGGAAAAACUUUUGGGUGGAUUGAAGGUGAAAAAUAUUGUUACAGGGGAAGUGUCUGAUUUGAAUGUUUCAGGCUUGUUUUUCGCCAUUGGGCACGAACCAGCUACCAAGUUUUUGGAUAAGCAAUUAGAGUUGGAUUCUGAUGGAUAUGUUGUAACUAAGCCGGGGACGACACUGACCAGUGUUAGGGGUGUUUUUGCUGCUGGUGAUGUGCAGGAUAAGAAGUAUAGGCAAGCUAUUACUGCUGCUGGCUCAGGGUGCAUGGCGGCUUUGGAUGCUGAACAUUACUUG